AUCCAUCUUCCUAGAGUAUUGCACGUAUGUGGACUUUGCUUUUUGCUGAAAAAAUAACUAAUUGUUUAAUAUUGUCAAACUUCCUUGACAAUUCUAUUAUCUUGCAGAAAAUUCAAUAUCUGGUAAUAUAUAUUAAAUAUUUGACAUUUCUAAGGAUUUAAAUAUGAUCUAUAUUUCUUCUGAAGAGUUUUGAUAAACUGGUCCCAGGGGGUUUGUGAAGUGAAGGUUUGAGGAUUGAGGAGCAGGAAUACAGUUAGAAUUCAAUACUAGGCACAGUCGAGUAACUCAGUUCAUUCCAAAACCUUUGGGUUUAAAACUUCAUACUAAUUGGACUUCCUUUAUUCAUUUCUAAGAAUAGGUUGAUAAAUAUGGCCCAUGCAUUGAUUGUGUAGUUUUGUUGCAUCCUCUGUUUGAUUCACCUAUAUUACUCUUUAUAUCAUAUCAAUUGAUGGUUCACAAUGGAGAAAUUUUCAUGUUAGCGUAUAGAUAUUCUCUUAAAGGUAGAGUUGUAUCGAUCCAAGUUUUGCCAAGUAAAUUUUGCUUGUUCUUGUUUGGACUCCCAACCUAAUCUACUUGGCAAUUGUUUUACUGGUGGGAAUUCCUCUUGAUCAAUCCAGUGCAGGGCAUUCUUAUUGUUGGAUAGUUAGUGGAUUUCAUGGUUGGUUGUGGUUCUAAACAUAAUCAGGAAAAAAAAAGAUUAAUCCUUCCGUUUUUUGAUCAGAUAUGGUCACAUGAUCGACAAUGU
rnacentral:misc_RNA from 1 species